UAACUAGUUUAGCAUACUUGAAGAAUGAGUCAUCACCUUCAUAACCGGAAAAUCAAGCAGUUCAUGAGAAGAAUCAAACAGUAGAAUAUACUUUGGGUACUACCUUCGAUAAUUCACAAGAGAGUGGCAACCCUUACACAUCCUUGAAUUCUUCCCUGUUAGGCUGAUAACAGUAGCCCCUCUCCGCCUCUCGUCGUGUUAAUCAGUGGUCAAAAGAAGAGAACAUUGCCAGCUUGUCACUGUGCUGCGAGAUGCAGACUUGACGGUAAGACUAAUUGACUCCUUGAGCUGCAGGAUCGUGUC
rnacentral:lncRNA from 1 species